UGGGGAAUAUUGGACAAUGGGCGAAAGCCUGAUCCAGCCAUGCCGCAUGAGUGAAGAAGGCCUUUGGGUUGUAAAGCUCUUUUAGUGAGGAAGAUAAUGACGGUACUCACAGAAGAAGUCCUGGCUAACUCCGUGCCAGCAGCCGCGGUAAUACGGAGAGGGCUAGCGUUAUUCGGAAUUAUUGGGCGUAAAGGGCGCGUAGGCUGGUUAAUAAGUUAAAAGUGAAAUCCCGAGGCUUAACCCUGGAAUUGCUUUUAAAACUAUUAAUCUAGAGAUUGAAAGAGGAUAGAGGAAUUCCUGAUGUAGAGGUAAAAUUCGUAAAUAUUAGGAGGAACACCGGUGGCGAAGGCGUCUAUCUGGUUCAAAUCUGACGCUGAAGCGCGAAGGCGUGGGGAGCAAACA
rnacentral:rRNA from 1 species